rnacentral:rRNA from 1 species
UACGUAGGGUGCGAGCGUUAAUCGGAAUUACUGGGCGUAAAGCGUGCGCAGGCGGUUGUGCAAGACAGAUGUGAAAUCCCCGGGCUCAACCUGGGAACUGCAUUUGUGACUGCACGGCUGGAGUGCGGCAGAGGGGGGAUGGAAUUCCGCGUGUAGCAGUGAAAUGCGUAGAUAUGCGGAGGAACACCGAUGGCGAAGGCAAUCCCCUGGGCCUGCACUGACGCUCAUGCACGAAAGCGUGGGAGC